CUCCUCUCUCCUGCGCUUUUCUCUCUUUUUGAUCGAUCUGAUAUUCAUAGUUUCAAAUAAAUUCUUUCUCCUUCUUUCUCAAUCAUCUCAGAGUUACCGAUUAAUCUCACUGCAGACACCCCAGCUUAGUUUAGUCUCCCUGUCAAAAUCUCAUCUCCAUUAAUUGCUUCUUUGAUUCUCACCUUCGCUUUAAGUUUCAACUAAUUCAGAGAUAAGAAAUCAGUAAGUGAUGUAGAGUUUGAGUUGUCUUUUCAUUUUAUGUUAGAGUCUUCUUUAAUUUUUUUUUUUUCCCUUUUCUAUGAUUAUAGAAUCAUAAGAAAAAUGCAAUUAUAGAAAUUAUAUAAAUAUGGGUUUGCUCCUUUUAGCAGGAUUUUACUUAAGGGGUUUGAUGAGAAGUUAU
rnacentral:lncRNA from 1 species